GGCUGUGCACAGACGAUCACUGAUCAGAGCGUCGCGAAAUGUCACAAAAGAAGUGUGUUUUUGGUUGCCAGGGCAAGACAACCCUGCACAGAUUACCAAAAGAGAAACAGCAUUAAGGGACCAGUGGAUGGAGUUUAUUUUUACAGAGCAUCAACGGAGUUGUGCAAGUGUUUGUGUUUGUUCCCUGCAUUUCGAAGAUGCUUGUUUUACAAACAAGGCCCAGUUUGACGCCGGAUUUGCACAUGGUUUAUUUCUUAAGGAUAAUGCAGUCCCAACAAAAAAGGGUCACGAAUCGUGUGUUGGAACCACAGGCGAAGCAAAACCAUGGAUGUUGUAAAUGCUGUGAAAAUGAUCGUUCUGGUUUGGACUUUCGCAUCUGUCUGUGAGGGCAGUGAUGAUUCAUGUAUCUUCAGUUCAAGCUGUGCUAAUGUGAGUGGAACUGUGCGUGAAGAACUAACGCUCACUUGCAGCAUCUCACUGAACUGCACUAAAGGAGCUGAUCAGUGCUGCAUUAUAUGGUACAUGUUUAAGGAUGGCAGAGAAAAUGGCACAGUAAUCUACAAAAAAUUUCUUAACAAGACCUGUGAACAAGAGACGUUCCCCACAUGUGGUUACAAGCCAAAUGCAACCAUGACUGCAAAAUUUAUAUUAUUUUUUCAAACAAAUUGUGGAACAAAGUCAACAGAAUUCAUUGUUAACGUAACAGAGUCUGGAGAUAAAACCAUCAUUACAGAUAAUGUUAAGAAAGGUGAAGCGAAGCUGACUACAUCUGAGGUCACUGUCACUGUUGGUGCCAUAAUUGGAUUCAUCAUCAUAAUGUUUAUAAUUUAUAGAAAGUACAAACCCACAAUCCCAUGUGGACACCAGAGAGACUAUAAAACAGCUGAUUCUGUCACAAAACAUGAUGACAACAGUGAAUAGUCAGAAUGUGCAUCUCAAAAGCACAGCAGGACUGUGUAGCAAAUGUGUUUCACAUCCAGUGCAGGUCAUGAACCUUUAAACAUGUUUAUUGUUGCACCAGUGUUGUUAAAAGUCUGUACAGAGGAAUCAUAACGGUCUGUGAUAUUUGGCCAGCUCAGUGUACUCUUAUCGUAAGCUGUACGUUCUGUUUUAUAUUGAUUUCUGUGAAAUAAAAGAAUACUAUUGAUCUGUUUGAUCAGACUACUGUAUACAGUAAUUAUGUUACAAGUCUGUAAACUCUCAGAAAGCUGUCACUGGGCCGGAAUGUUACUUUGGAAAUGUAACAGGUUACAGAUUACAAUAGAACCCUAUUUGAAAUGUAACAAGUAUUGUAAGUAACAAGUAACUGAUGACAUUUGAAUACUUUUUAAUACCUUUUCUAAAUUUCUAAUGAAUGUUUUUGACUGGUAAUCAUUUUCAAACAUGUAAAUAAAGCAGGGUUAACCUACCACUAGAACUCAACACUGAUUACG